UACGUACGAGGCGAGCGUUAUCCGGAAUUACUGGGCGUAAAGCGCGCGCAGGUGGCGAGUUAAGUCAGACGUGAAAUCUCCCGGCCUAACUGGGAGGGGUCGUUUGAAACUGGCUGGCUUGAGGACUGCAGAGGUGGGUGGAAUUCCUGGUGUAGUGGUGAAAUGCGUAGAGAUCAGGAGGAACACCGGUGGCGAAGGCGGCCCACUGGGCAGUCACUGACGCUGAGGCGCGACAGCGUGGGGAGCAAACAGG
rnacentral:rRNA from 1 species